rnacentral:rRNA from 1 species
CCUACGGGUGGCAGCAGUAGGGAAUUUUCGUCAAUGGGCGCAAGCCUGAUCGAGCGAUGCCGCGUGAGUGAAGAAGGCCUUCGGGUCGUAAAGCUCUGUUGCGGGGGAAAAAAGGCAGCAUCAUGAAAUGGGUGCUGACUGAUGGUGCCCCGCCAGUAAGUCACGGCUAACUACGUGCCAGCAGCCGCGGUAAUACGUAGGUGGCGAGCGUUAUCCGGAAUGAUUGGGCGUAAAGGGUGCGCAGGCGGUCCUGCAAGUCUGGAGUGAAACGCGUGAGCUCAACUCAUGAAUGGCUUGGGAUACUGGAGGACGGGAGAGCAGGAGAGGGCGGUGGAACUGCAGGUGUAGCAGUGAAAUGCGUAGAUAUAUGGAAGAACACCAGUGGCGAAGGCGGCCGCCUGGACAGUAGCUGACGCUGAGGCACGAAGGCGUGGGGAGCAAAUAGGAUUAGAUACCCGAGUAGUC